GGGUCAGUAGGUUGGUCGUGCCACCGGUACGUACUGGUCUCACUGAUUCCUCCUUCCUGAAGAACCGUAAUGCCAUUAAUUUGGUGUUGCGGAGAAACAGGACUGUUACUUUGAAAAAAUUAGAGUGUUUAAAGCAAGCUAACGCUUGAAUACAUUAGCAUGGAAUAAUGAAAUAGGACGAUCGAUCCUAUUUUGUUGGUUUCUAGGAUUGACGUA
rnacentral:rRNA from 1 species